CACGUAGGGGCCAAGCGUUGUCCGGAUUUAUUGGGCGUAAAGAGCGUGUAGGCGGCUUGGUAGGUCCGCUGUGAAAACUCGAGGCUCAACCUCGAGACGCCGAUGGAAACCAUCUAACUAGAGUCCGGAAGAGGAGAGUGGAAUUCCUGGUGUAGCGGUGAAAUGCGUAGAUAUCUGGAGGAACACCGGUGGCGAAGGCGGCAUCCUGGACCGACACUGACGCUGAGGAGCGAAAGCCAGGGGAGCAAACGGG
rnacentral:rRNA from 1 species